AUACGUAGGUGGCAAGCGUUGUCCGGAAUUAUUGGGCGUAAAGCGCGCGCAGGCGGUCCUUUAAGUCUGAUGUGAAAGCCCACGGCUCGACCGUGGAGGGUCAUUGGAAACUGGGGGACUUGAGUGCAGAAGAGGAAAGUGGAAUUCCAAGUGUAGCGGUGAAAUGCGUAGAGAUUUGGAGGAACACCAGUGGCGAAGGCGACUUUCUGGUCUGUAACUGACGCUGAGGCGCGAAAGCGUGGGGAGCAAACAGGAUUAGAUACCCUGGUAGUCCACGCCGUAAACGAUGAGUGCUAAGUGUUAGGGGGUUUCCGCCCCUUAGUGCUGCAGCUAACGCAUUAAGCACUCCGCCUGGGGAGUACGGUCGCAAGACUGAAACUCAAAGGAAUUGACGGGG
rnacentral:rRNA from 1 species